AUUGAACGCUGGCGGCAGGCCUAACACAUGCAAGUCGAGCGAGCGGCGGACGGGUGAGUAAUGUCUGGGAAACUGCCUGAUGGAGGGGGAUAACUACUGGAAACGGUAGCUAAUACCGCAUACCAUCAGAUGUGCCCAGAUGGGAUUAGCUAGUAGGUGGGGUACUGGCUCACCUAGGCGACGAUCCCUAGCUGGUCUGAGAGGAUGACCAGCCACACUGGAACUGAGAAAUGGGCCAGACUCCGACGGGAGGCAGCAGUGGGGAAUAGUGCACAAUGGGCGAAAGCCGGAUGCAGCCAGGCCGCGUGGGGGAAGAAGGCCUUCGGGUUGUAAAGCACUUUCAGCGGGGAGGCGUUACCCGCAGAAGAAGCACCGGCUAACUCCGUGCCAGCCGCCGCGGUAAUUC
rnacentral:rRNA from 1 species